rnacentral:rRNA from 1 species
ACGAACGCUGGCGGCGUGCCUAACUCAUGCAAGUCGCACGGAAAGGCCCUGCUUUUGUGGGGUGCUCGAGUGGCGAACGGGUGAGUAACACGUGAGUAACCUGCCCUUGACUUUGGGAUAACUUCAGGAAACUGGGGCUAAUACUGGAUAGGAGCUCCUGCUGCAUGGUGGUGGUUGGAAAGAUUCGGCGGUUGGGGAUAGACUCGCGGCUUAUCAGCUUGUUAGUGGGGUUGUGGCUUACCAAGGCUUUGACGGGUAGCCGGCCUGAGAGGGUGACCGGGCGCAUUGGGACUGAGAUAGGGCCCAGACUGCAACGGGAGGCAGCAGUGGGGAAUAUUACACAAUGGGCCGAAGCCUGAUGCAGCAACGCCGCGUGCGGAAUGACGGCCUUCGGGGGGUAAACCGCUUUCGCAUGAAACGAAGCGUGAGUGACGGUAAUGGGUAAAGAAGCACCGGCUAACUACGUG